GGCAUAUCAUAUCUCAUGACUAUGGUAACUUCAGGCAUUACAUCGUCACACAACUAUUCAAGCCUGGAUGAAAGGUGCCCCUACAGACAUACAAGGAGAUUGUUCACUGCUGCGAGGAGCAGGUCUUAACUCUGGCCACUGAACAGACCUAUGCUGUGGAGGGUGAGACACCCAUCAACCGCCUGUCCCUGCUGCUCUCUGGCCGGGUUCGUGUGAGCCAGGAUGGGCAGUUUCUGCACUACAUCUUUCCAUACCAGUUCAUGGACUCUCCUGAGUGGGAAUCACUACAGCCUUCUGAGGAGGGGGUGUUCCAGGUCACUCUGACUGCUGAGACCUCAUGUAGCUACAUAUCCUGGCCCCGGAAAAGCCUCCAUCUUCUUCUGACCAAAGAGCGAUACAUCUCCUGCCUCUUCUCGGCUCUGCUGGGUUAUGACAUCUCGGAGAAGCUCUACACUCUCAAUGAAAAGCUCUUUGCUAAGUUUGGGCUGCGCUUUGACAUCCGCCUUCCCAGCCUUUACCAUGUCCUGGGUCCCACUGCUGCAGAUGCUGGACCAGAGUCCGAGAAGGGUGAUGAGGAAGUCUGUGAGCCAGCUGUGUCCCCUCCUCAGGCCACACCCACCUCUCUCCAGCAAACACCCCCUUGUUCUACCCCUCCAGCUGCCACCAACUUUCCUGCACCUCCUACCCGGGCCAGGUUGUCCAGGCCAGACAGCGGCAUCCUGGAGAUAGAGAUUUUCCCUCUUAUUUCCCCCAGUUUGGCUUUUCAGGGAAGGUGGCAGCUGGCAGAAUCCUCUGACAAUAAAAGCUUCUAGAAUUCCUCUCCAGAGCUACUCUCAAGUUACAUCCAGGGGACAGGCCCCUUUGGCUCCAACCCACACGCCUGAACUUUAAGGAUCAUUGGACUAUCUUCUCUGUGGCCAGCGCAGCUCUCUUCUAUGUUCACAGAAUGGCCACUGAUAGGCACGCCUCUUUUCCCACCCACUGGAAGGCUCACAGACAAGGUGAGAGAGGACACAGAAGGUGCCAACACUGUCGCUACAGUAAGGACCUGGAGUGACUUUGAGAAAUUCACCCUCACAAGCCUUCCUUCAGGAGCAGGCAUUGGUAGUGCAGAGGCACAGAUUCCAUCCUUUACCAGCUGCAGAAUCUUGGUCAAGUUACAUAGCCUCUGUGAGCCUCAUCGGUAAACAGUGGGGGUUAUGAAACCCACCUCACAGGGUUGUUGUGAGGAUCCAAUGAGUUGAUUUAGGUAAGCACCUAGCACAUGCCGUGGCACCAAGUAAGCACUCAAUAAAUCACUCAACUCCU
rnacentral:sRNA from 1 species